rnacentral:ribozyme from 16 species
UCUUUCUCUUUUUCCUAUUCUUUUCUCCCUUCUUUUUCAUUUUCUUUUCACUUUUUCCGUAUUCUUCUUUUACAAGUAGGCCCUCCCGAUGGCUAGAAAACACGAGCCGAUGAAUGAGGAGACAGAAAAAGAAUACAAUUU